AACGGUCUAUACCUGCGGUACCUGCGGAGGGAUCAUUACCAAUUUACAGCGGACUUCGGUCCUGUCUGCACCCUUGUCUUUUGCGUACUAUAUGUUUCCUCGGUGGGCUUGCCUGCCGAUAGGACACUUAUAAACUCUUUUGUAAUUGCAAUCAGCGUCAGAAAACUAUAAUAGUUACAACUUUUAGCAACGGAUCUCU
rnacentral:misc_RNA from 1 species